AACGAACGCUGACGGCGUGCUUAACACAUGCAAGUCGCACGAGAAUUUCCGCCUUCGGGUGGAAUAGUAAAGUGGCGCACGGGUGAGUAACGCGUGGAUAAUCUGCCCUUGAGCCGGGAAUAACCCAUCGAAAGGUGGGCUAAUACCCGAUAAUACUGCUUCGACUUCGGUUGGGCAGUCAAAGAUAGCCUCUGUUUACAAGCUUUCACUCGAGGAUGAGUCCGCGUACCAUUAGCUAGUUGGCAGGGUAACGGCCUACCAAGGCUGCGAUGGUUAGCUGGUCUGAGAGGAUGAUCAGCCACACUGGAACUGAGACACGGUCCAGACUCCUACGGGUGGCUG
rnacentral:rRNA from 1 species